rnacentral:rRNA from 3 species
CCUGGCGGCCGUAGCGCGGUGGUCCCACCUGACCCCAUGCCGAACUCAGAAGUGAAACGCCGUAGCGCCGAUGGUAGUGUGGGGUCUCCCCAUGCGAGAGUAGGGAAGUGCCAGGC